rnacentral:rRNA from 1 species
CUGAUCGUGCAAAGGUAGCAUAAUCAUUAGUUUUUUAAUUGGGAACUGGUAUGAAAGGUCGAACGAGAAAAAGACUGUCUCAAUUUAAUUUAAAUUAGAAUUUUAUAUUUAAGUAAAAAAGCUUAAAUAUUUUUAAAAGACGAGAAGACCCUAUAGAGUUUAAUAGUUAUUAAUUUUAAAGAAAAUUAAGAAUUUUUUUUUUUUUAUUAUUAAUAAUUAUUUGGUUGGGGCGACUAAAAAAUUAAAUAAACUUUUUUUAAAAUUUUUACCAUUAAUAUAUGAUUAAGUGAUCCAUUAGUUAUGAUUAAAAGAUUAAAUUACCUUAGGGAUAACAGCGUUAUUUUUUUUGAGAGUUCUUAUCGAAAAAAAAGUUUGCGACCUCGAUGUUGGAUUAAAAUUUACUUUUGGUGUAGAAGCUAAAAUAGUUAGGUCUGUUCGACCUUUAAAAUUUUACAUGAUCUGAGUUUAAACCGGUGUAAGCCAGGUUGGUUUCUAUCUUUAA